rnacentral:rRNA from 1 species
UGGUGAAUAUUGCACAAUGGGCGCAAGCCUGAUGCAGCCAUGCCGCGUGUAUGAAGAAGGCCUUCGGGUUGUAAAGUACGUUCAGCGGGGAGGAAGGGAGUAAAGUUAAUACCUUUGCUCAUUGACGUUACCCGCAGAAGAAGCACCGGCUAACUCCGUGCCAGCAGCCGCGUUAAUACGGAGGGUGCAAGCGUUAAUCGGAAUUACUGGGCGUAAAGCGCACGCAGGCGGUUUGUUAAGUCAGAAGUGAAAUCCCCGGGCUAAACCUGGGAACUGCAUCCGAUUCUGGCAAGAUUGAGUAUCUGAGAGGGGGGUAGAAUGCCAGGUGUAGCGGUGAAAUGCGUACAGAUCUGGAGGAAUACCGGUGGCGAAGGCGGCCCGCUGGACGAAGAAUUACGCACAGGUGCGAAAGCGAGGGGAGCAAACAGG